UACGGAAGGGGCGAGCGUUGUUCGGAUUUACUGGGCGUAAAGCGCGCGCAGGCGGUCUUCCAAGUCAGUGGUGAAAGCCCGGAGCUCAACUCCGGAACUGCCAUUGAAACUGUUGGACUUGAGUACGAGAGAGGUGAGUGGAAUUCCCAGUGUAGAGGUGAAAUUCGUAGAUAUUGGGAAGAACACCGGUGGCGAAGGCGGCUCACUGGCUCGUAACUGACGCUCAGGCGCGACAGCGUGGGGAUCGAAACAGG
rnacentral:rRNA from 1 species